rnacentral:rRNA from 1 species
AUUGAACGCUGGCGGCAUGCUUUACACAUGCAAGUCGAACGGUAACAGGCCUUCGGGCGCUGACGAGUGGCGAACGGGUGAGUAAUGCAUCGGAACGUGCCCAGUCGUGGGGGAUAACGCAGCGAAAGCUGUGCUAAUACCGCAUACGAUCUAUGGAUGAAAGCGGGGGACCGUAAGGCAUCGCGCGAUUGGAGCGGCCGAUGUCAGAUUAGGUAGUUGGUGGGGUAAAGGCUCACCAAGCCAACGAUCUGUAGCUGGUCUGAGAGGACGACCAGCCACACUGGAACUGAGACACGGUCCAGACUCCUACGGGAGGCAGCAGUGGGGAAUUUUGGACAAUGGGCGCAAGCCUGAUCCAGCAAUGCCGCGUGCAGGAAGAAGGCCUUCGGGUUGUAAACUGCUUUUGUACGGAACGAAACGGCGAGCUCUAAUACAGUUUGCUAAUGACGGUACCGUAAGAAUAAGCACCGGCUAACUACGUGCCAGCCGCCGCAGUAAAAC